rnacentral:rRNA from 1 species
CACGUAGGGUGCGAGCGUUGUCCGGAAUUAUUGGGCGUAAAGAGCUCGUAGGCGGUGUGUCGCGUCGACCGUGAAAACCUGCAGCUUAACUGUGGGCGUGCGGUCGAUACGGGCAUCACUGGAGUUCGGCAGGGGAGACUGGAAUUCCUGGUGUAGCGGUGAAAUGCGCAGAUAUCAGGAGGAACACCGGUGGCGAAGGCGGGUCUCUGGGCCGUAACUGACGCUGAGGAGCGAAAGCGUGGGGAGCGAACAGG